rnacentral:rRNA from 1 species
GACGAACGCUGGCGGCAUGCCUAAUACAUGCAAGUCGAGCGAACAGAUGAAGUGCUUGCACUUCUGACGUUAGCGGCGAACGGGUGAGUAACACGUAAGGAAUCUACCUAUAAGCGGGGGAUAACAUUCGGAAACGGGUGCUAAUACCGCAUAAUAUCUUCUUCCGCAUGGAAGAAGAUUGAAAGACGGCUCUGCUGUCACUUAUAGAUGACCUUGCGGUGCAUUAGUUAGUUGGUGGGGUAAUGGCCUACCAAGACGAUGAUGCAUAGCCGACCUGAGAGGGUGAUCGGCCACAUUGGGACUGAGACACGGCCCAAACUCCGACGGGAGGCAGCAGUAGGGAAUCGUCCGCAAUGGGCGAAAGCCUGACGGAGCAAUGCCGCGUGAGUGAAGAAGGCCUUCGGGUCGUAAAACUCUGUUAUAAGAGAAGAACAAAUUGUAGAGUAACUGCUACAGUCUUGACGGUACCUUAUCAGAAAGCCACGGCUAACUACGUGCCAGCCGCCGCCGUAA